rnacentral:rRNA from 1 species
UACAGAGGGCCGCUACCACGCAAGUGGAUGCCAAUCCCCAAAACCUCUCUCAGUUCGGAUUGAAGUCUGCAACCCGACUUCAUGAAGCUGGAUUCGCUAGUAAUCGCGCAUCAGCCACGGCGCGGUGAAUACGUUCCCGGGCCUUGUACACACCGCCCGUCAAGCCAUGGGAGCCGGGGGUACCUGAAGUGCGUAACCGCAAGGAGCGCCCUAGGGUAAAACUGGUGACUGGGGCUAAGUCGUAACAAGGUAUC